GAACCAGAACCCGGACCACAGGAGCCAAACAGCAGCCUCGUGCUCUGAUAGCACCGAUGUUCAGGCCCCCCUACAGCAACACAACUCAGCUCUUCAUGAGUUCGUAGAAUAGUGUGAUAAUUCCUGCCUGGAAUUUAAUGUGAACAAGACUAAGAAGAUGACCUUUUCCAACAAGCAGAAGAAACUGGCUGUCGCAGGCAUCACCACCAUCCAUGGGAAACCUGUAGACAUUGUUGACGAGUAUAAGUACCUGGACACAAAACAAAUCACCUUCUGGCAACGCGGUACAACCCCAUUACUUGGAUUAAUUAAAGUAUUAUUAUUAUUACUGUCUUGGAAAUGGUACUCCCUUACAUUACUAGUUACUAGGAUAAAUUAAUAAUACAGUAAUGCGUUACUGCCAACACCAUUGCCUAACUGUUGCUUAAAUUGUAGAUGUUAUGCAGCAGAUCCGUCACUGCUCAGCCAACACCCAGAUGUUCACAAUGUCUUCUCACUACACCUCCGGAUUAUACACCGGUCACUGAUUACUCUUCUUGUCCCCAGCGACCACUUCACCUCCCGUUUGUACCACCAGCAUCCCCUGCAGUCUAAAUAAAUCAUGAUGGUCUGUAGGGCUGAACGAUUAA